UUUCCUCUGGUGUAGUCAACUUUGUAUUUUGGUGUUCUGCUACUCUGUUUAAAGUUUAGUUGUCAAGACAUUAUUUGACAUUGCCAAAGUGUUUGAAUAUUUAAAAUAUCCUAAAAUAUAUUAAAGUCAUGGAUGACAAAAAAUACAAAGAUAUCUUGCUGAAAAUUGCAGUUAAUUUGUUGGAUAGAGAUGUUGAAGCAAUUAAAUUUUAUUAUUCAAAACAGAUUGGGGAUGCUGAUCUUGAAAGGAUUACAACUCCUAUCAAAUUAAUUCAAAUUUUAGAACAGCGUAUGGUUUUAGGGAUUGAUAAUUACAGUUCUUUUGUAGAGGUGCUUACAAAAAUUGGAAGAAGUGACCUGGUUAUUUAUUUCUUUGAGAUUUCAAAUUCACCAAACAAAGAUUCCAAUAUUUCUUUCAAAAAAGAUUUGUUGAAGAUGUCGGCUGAACUGAAAAAAAUUUAUCCUAAUUAUUAUGGGAAAAUUGGUGAACUUCAACCACUAUUAAAAGCAUCUGCAAAUGUUGAUCUCAUACAAAAAUUUAUUGAUCUAUGUAUUGUUGAUGCAGUUAAUGCUCAAAUAGACGCUUAUUUCAGUGUUGAACGAAAGGAAUUUCUUGAAAAGCAAAUUCAUUAUACACCAAUUCCAUACAGUGAUAUAUUUAUGAAAGAAAAACCAGUAAUAUUAAUAUCUGGAAUAGCUGGUAUUGGGAAAACAUGGUUGCUUAGAAAAUGUUUGCUUGAUUGGUCAAAUGAUUUAAUUUGGAAAAAUGUUGAACUUGUUUUCUAUUUGGAAUGCAGGAGAAUUAAUCAAUAUCCAUAUAUUUCUAAUAUUAAUGAUUUACUAAAUGUGUUCUACAAAGAUAUUGUAAACAACUUUAAUAUUAGUAAUCAUACUGCACUGUUUUUAAUUGAUGGAUUAGAUGAGUUUAAAUAUUUCAAUGAAUUGUUAAACCCAAGUUUGACUUGUAACUAUCCGAUUGUUAAUGCUUUAGCAGAAAUUCAAAAAUACAGACAUGUAAUUGCUGGUAGAGUUUAUGCAAUAGAUCAAUACCAAAGUAUAUCUACAGAACAUAGCGAUAAGUUAACCAUUCAAGUAAUGGGGUUUAAUGAAAAUGGAAUAAAUAAUUAUGUAGAAAGUCAUGUUAUAGAAGAAAAAAAAGAAUUAGUAAAAACAACUUUAAAGGAGUCUUCAAUUGCAAAAGCCAUGGCAUCUGUUCCGUUUUAUUUAUCUUCAAUGUGUAAAAUUAUAAGUGAUUCGAAAAAAAUGGAUACAAAUUUUUUCUUAACAAUGACAGAUUUGUAUACAAACAUUUUUUUAUACUUUUUGCGAAAACAUAUCAUAAAAAACAAUAAACUGAUAUAUGAGAUAAUGGAAAACAGUUCCAAUAAAAAGUAUAUUUUAAGUAUUUGUAAAAUUGCAUAUAAAAUGUUUGUUAACAAUAAAAUAAUUUUUUCCAAAGAUGAAAUUCAAGCUUUUAUUAAUGACUUUGAUAAAAAUGAAGGUAAUUUCUUUGGAUUUAUAGAAAGGAUUGAAACAGAUCUUGGUUGUUAUUAUCAAUUUGCACAUUUGACAAUAAUGGAGUUUUGUGCAUCUGUAUAUGCAUAUAAUUGUUUAAGUAGUGAUGAGAUUAUGGCCAAUGAGAGGCUGAAGAUUAGUUGUUUAUCAAUGAUUUGUGGAUUAGCCAAUAAAAACCCAAACAGUUUAUUAAAGUUUCUUGUUAACCUGGAUUCUUCUAAAAAACACUAUAAAGAAUCUUCAUUUUUGUUUUCUAUUUUGGUUUAGAUGCUGGCUUGGUUUUACUGUUUCUUUAAAAGUUUGAUCCGAUCUUGAAAAUUUGUUGAAAUAUUACCUAGGAUUACUUGAAUUAUGAAAGUGCAAAUGUUAAAGAUGCUCAAAUUUUUUUUUUUUUUGAAUCAUUUGGUUGGAAUUAUCAGAAUCAAUAUAAUUAUGGUCUUUCCUAAAACAGAAGUAAAGAGCAUUGUAUGUAUGAGCAAAUAUCGUCUAAGUAAAAGUGAUGACAGAGAAGAUUACCAUGAUUUAUUCAUUGAAUGUUUUUAUGAAAGUCAAUCGUCAUUUAAUGAUGAAAUUAAAUCAAUUGUUGAUU
rnacentral:misc_RNA from 1 species